UACGAAGGGGGCUAGCGUUGUUCGGAAUAACUGGGCGUAAAGCGCACGUAGGCGGAUUUGUAAGUCAGGGGUGAAAUCCCGAGGCUCAACCUCGGAACUGCCUUUGAUACUGCAAGUCUGGAGUCCGGAAGAGGUGAGUGGAAUUCCUAGUGUAGAGGUGAAAUUCGUAGAUAUUAGGAAGAACACCAGUGGCGAAGGCGGCUCACUGGUCCGGUACUGACGCUGAGGUGCGACAGCGUGGGGAGCAAGCAGG
rnacentral:rRNA from 1 species